UGGGGAAUCUUGGACAAUGGGGGCAACCCUGAUCCAGCCAUGCCGCGUGAGUGAUGAAGGCCUUAGGGUCGUAAAGCUCUUUCGCCUGUGAAGAUAAUGACGGUAGCAGGUAAAGAAACCCCGGCUAACUCCGUGCCAGCAGCCGCGGUAAUACGGAGGGGGUUAGCGUUGUUCGGAAUUACUGGGCGUAAAGCGCACGUAGGCGGACCAGAAAGUUGGGGGUGAAAUCCCGGGGGCUCAACCCCGGAACUGCCUCCAAAACUAUUGGUCUAGAGUUCGAGAGAGGUGAGUGGAAUUCCAAGUGUAGAGGUGAAAUUCGUAGAUAUUUGGAGGAACACCAGUGGCGAAGGCGGCUCACUGGCUCGAUACUGACGCUGAGGUGCGAAAGUGUGGGGAGCAAACAGGAUUAGAUACCCUGGUAGUCCACACCGUAAAACGAUGGAAGCUAGCUGUCAGAAUGUAUACAUUUUGGUGGCGCAGCUAACGCAUUAAGCUU
rnacentral:rRNA from 1 species